AUACGGAGGGUGCAAGCGUUACUCGGAAUCACUGGGCGUAAAGGACGCGUAGGCGGGUUGGUAAGUCAGGUGUGAAAUCCUACAGCUUAACUGUAGAACUGCACUUGAAACUACCAACCUAGAGUAUGGGAGGGGGAGAUGGAAUUAGUGGUGUAGGGGUAAAAUCCGUAGAUAUCACUAGGAAUACCGAAAGCGAAGGCGAUCUCCUGGAACAUAACUGACGCUAAGGCGUGAAAGCGUGGGGAGCAAACAGGAUUAGAAACCCCAGUAGUCC
rnacentral:rRNA from 1 species